CACACACAAACACACCAACAGGGCUUUGCUUCUCUCUCGUGUCCAGUCACCGGCGAUUCGAGCCAGAAUAAUUCCGGUCGGUGCCGGUUGUAAACCAGACAAACAGACGCACUCACCCAUACCCUGUUACUCUCUCCCUCUCCCUCUCAUCGUACUGGCAGCCGGAGCCACUACCGGCGACGGUUUCUCCGACACGCAACCCCCACUCUUGGAUCUUUCUGAUUUCCUUCACACACAACUCAACAUAGCCUACACCCCUCAACUCACUGAAGAACCGGUGAUUACCGGCUGACUGUUCACGACAACGGAACCAGAACCGCCGCUCGCGGCGGCGCACGACGACGGAACGAGAGAGACAGAAGGAGAGAGAGAACCGGUGGUGGUGGUGAGCGGCGGUCGGCGUCUCGGUCCGACGGUCCUUGUCAUUAUCCGAUGGGUUUCUGUUCGGAAGUCUCGGUUCGGGUUCGGGUUUGGUUUGGUUUCGGUUCGUUCAGGGAUGGUCAGACUCCAACGGUUUGUUUUGAUGCAGGUUGGGUGUCGAUGAGCUCACAUCAGACCUGGUCACUUUUGACGAGUUUGUUAAACUCAGUUCUGGUUAGAGCUUAUGUUGGUUCAAGUUAGAUCUAGUUGGGUUCGGGUCUCGGUUCAUUCGAGUUCAGUCAAACCCAGUCAACAUGUCGGGUUGACUGGUCAAAGCAAGUCAACUGGUUAAGUUAACAGAUUCGGUCAGACGGCUUGGUUCGGUCAGACGGCUCGGUUCGGUCAGACGGCUCGGUUCAGUUGACUCGGUCAAACCGGGUCAACUCGGUCAAACCUGGUCAACUCGGUUGACUCAGUUAACUCAGUCAACCCUUUUCAGCUUUUCGACACGAGAAUCUUGGUAAUGGAUUAAAGAAGAGAUUUCGUUA